rnacentral:rRNA from 1 species
GAUGAACGCUGGCGGCGUGCCUAAUACAUGCAAGUCGAGCGAACGGACGAGAAGCUUGCUUCUCUGAUGUUAGCGGCGGACGGGUGAGUAACACGUGGAUAACCUACCUAUAAGACUGGGAUAACUUCGGGAAACCGGAGCUAAUACCGGAUAAUAUUUUGAACCGCAUGGUUCAAAAGUGAAAGGCGGUCUUGCUGUCACUUAUAGAUGGAUCCGCGCUGCAUUAGCUAGUUGGUAAGGUAACGGCUUACCAAGGCAACGAUGCAUAGCCGACCUGAGAGGGUGAUCGGCCACACUGGAACUGAGACACGGUCCAGACUCCUACGGGAGGCAGCAGUAGGGAAUCUUCCGCAAUGGGCGAAAGCCUGACGGAGCAACGCCGCGUGAGUGAUGAAGGUCUUCGGACCGUAAAACUCUGUUAUUAGGGAAGAACAUAUGUGUAAGUAACUGUGCACAUCUUGACGGUACCUAAUCAGAAAGCCACGGCUAACUACGUG